GUAGGCUGUAAAGAUUAGAGAGUUUAUUAUGGGGCAGACUACACAGAGUUGAAAAGAAAUUACCUUCUCCAGAUCAUAAGAUGAAGAAAACUGCAAGAAUAUUACUCUCAAGCCUCUGAACAAGAAAAGCCAGCUGUUGGACGUGAUAACUUUGAGCCUGUCAGAGAGCUGAUGUUCUAAGGCAACUGGGUAGACUGAAUCCCAAAGUGAGAUCUUUAAAAAAAUGAUAAAAAGAAAGAGAUGGAUAAAGACAUACAGAUACCCAAAGGAUGCAGAGAGAAAAAGAUGGAACAAGAAUAUAUGUGAAAGACUACAAACAAUGGCAAGCACAGAAGAGCAAAAGAAAGAAAGAAAGGGUAACAGAGAAAGCAAUAGAGGAAGAAUAUGAAGCCAUGUUAAUCUGAAUGUGGGCUCUUUUAUACCAAGAAUCUACUCCAAGGCUGAAUAUUAGCUCACUUUUAAGAAUCAAAGUUGUGGAUUUCAUAGGAUCCAACCACACUCAGGAAGAUGAGAUCACACAAGGAUGUGGACAUAUGGAUGUGAGGAUCAUAGAGGCUACCAUAAGGGUUAAUCCACUACAAGUGUAUUUGUCAAGAAAAUUUGACCAGCCAUGUAAUUUCACUCCUUCCAGACAUACUUUGAUGUGAACAGGAAGUAUAAAAGAGCAGUGCAAAGAGUGGACUGUACCGGAUACUGUCAGAGACUUCCAAAUCAGAGAAUCUUUGAAUCCACCUAUGACCUAUAAGCCCCCACUUCAAGAUAUUCUACCUUUUUAGUCCAAACCAAUGCAUAACCUCCAUGUAUUGAUUUAUUGCUUGCCUGAGGACAAUGUAAGCUUUGAAUUUGGAACCCUUGGGAAAAACAGAAAAGGUGUCACACACUGUUUUGGGAAAAACUAUUUUUCUCAUGAAACCCCAAGAAUUAUAAGGGUACACAUUCCUCUCAC